UGUGAUUAGCGGUUGGUGGCACUACUACAAAAAAGAAAAAAGACGACGGUAAAUCACCGUCGUUGUUAAAAUAUACAACGUCAUCAACAAAUACAAAACGACGUCUUUGUACUGCAAAAAGAUUUAAAAAGCCAGUCGAGGAUGAGAAUAGACGACCAACUCUCUAAAAAAACCGUCGUUAAAAAGGAAAAAUUUGACACAUAUUAACAGAACAAGGCCGCAAGAUAGACAUACAACGACGAAAAUUAAAACAAGACGCCGUUAAAUAUCAUUUUCACGACAAUAAAAAAUAUGACGUCUUUAAAUACAUUAGAAGACGACGUUAUUGAUACCUACUACGUCGCCUAUAUAAAAACAACCGUCGUAAAAUAAAUUUUUCACUUCGAUUUUUCUAUAAAAGAUGACAUGGAAAUAGUUGUCAGUGUCAUUAUUUACGACGUAUGUAUUUAUAGAGUAGACGUUGAACAACGAAACAACGUCGGUUACAAAUAUAUGAGAGUCGUAUUACAAAAUUUAUACGUCCUAUUUUCAGAAACAAACAACGACGAUAAAUAUUAGACGUUGUUAAGUAAAACAACGUCGAAAACAAAUAAAAACAGACGUGUUUAGUCUGCUAAAGUUCUAAAAAAUAGUCGAGGAUGAGAAUAGACGACCAACUCAAACAAAUCAUCGUCGUUAAAAGGGAAAAAUAUGACACAUAUUAAAAGAACAAGGCCGCAAGAUAGACAUACAACGACGACAACUAAAACACUACGCCGUUAAAUACAAUUUUUACGACAAGAAAAAAUAUGACGUCUUUAAAUACAUGAGAAGACGACGUUAUUGAAAUCUACUACGUCUCUUAUUUACAAACAACCGUCGUGAAAUAAAUUUUUCACUUCGAUUUUUCUAAAAAAGAUGACGUGGAAAUAGUUGUCAGUGUCAUUAUUUACGACGUAUGUAUUUAUAUAGUUGACGUUGAAAUUCGAAACAACGUCGGUGGUAUUUAUAUAGUCGACGUUGUAUUUAUAUGUAUUCAUUACUCACGACGCACUUAUUAAUAUAGACGACGUUGAACUUCUAAACAACGUCGGUUCCAAAUAAAUGAGAGCCGUAUUACAGAACAUAUAGACGGCAUUGAUUAUGAUGAGAGCCGUAUUACAAAUAACGUCGUUUAAUUGAUAUUAGACGGCGGUUAUAAUGAAUUACCGUCGGAAUUCAUUUCGUUCCUCUUCGUUUAUAAAAGAACUUGCGACGUGGAAAAUGUAUGAUGACGUCGUAUUUUUUAACGUUCAGAUUAUAUAUCUCGUUUUUUAGACGUCGGUAUUAUGGGAUUGGAGUCGUGUUAUUUUGAAUUACAUGGCGGUUCUUAAUCCUUCCCCGACGUGAUAUCCUGAAUAAUUGCUUCACAAUAGCGUCGUGGUUCUUCAUUGUUACGUUGCUUUAAGACGUCGGUAAAUAUGCUGAAUAACUGGUUCACAAUAACGUCGUGUUUUAUUUGAACGUAGAAAGUGAAGAAAUCACAUUACAAUAUAUUACAAAAUUAAUGUCAUACACUGCCAAUUACAUAAGCAUCAUUCAAUCCAUAUAUCUUCACACCCAUCUCGAAUAUUUUGACCACCUAACUCACCCACCAGUUUAUCAAAUGUGUCAACAUUUGGCAUCCCUCUAGUAAAUGGCUCACACUCAAUUAUCACAUCACCUAAGACUUCAUCACCAAUAACAUCAUUAUAUUCUCUAUUAGGCAUUGAUAACACUACCGACCAACCACGAUGCAUCGGGUCGUCAACAAAAAAUAUUUGUUUGACUUGAGAAGCCAAAACAAAUUGGUCAUUCCUAUGUCCAAUUUUACUCAAAUCUACAAGGGUAAAUCCAAGUUCGUCGACUACAAGACCAGAACUAUCUAUCCAAUCACACCUAAAGACUGGGAUUGUAAACUUUUGGUAGUCAAGGUCCCAAAUUUCUUAAAUGACACCAUAGAAACCCAUAUUUGAGAGAAUUGAGUUUUUAUCCUUGGCACUAGCAACUUGCAUGGUAUGUGCAAGUAAAUAAACUCCACUAUUUUGAGUUGUCCGGACAUCAUCUUGUGCCUUGAUAUUGAAUUUAAUACCUUUAAUAAGAUAGCUCCUAUAUAAUGGCACUGCCAUGUUUGGACCAGCUGCUAGCCACCUAAAUUUUCUGAUACGCCAUGAUUGUCUUCCUCAAGUUCACUUUGAACCUGCAAUUAAUCAUAUCUUAUUUCAUCUAACAUAGAAAUAGAGAAAUUAAAGAGAAAUAUGUUAUUCAACACAUUUACCUUGAAGCAUAGCCAUUGAUGAAAGUGCUAUUGUGCUUCNNNNNNNNNNNNNNNNNNNNNNNNNNNNNNNNNNNNNNNNNNNNNNNNNNNNNNNNNNNNNNNNNNNNNNNNNNNNNNNNNNNNNNNNNNNNNNNNNNNNUUUUGCAACUAGAAUUCGAUGUCCGUGCAGGAGGUAUAACAACACGUUGUGGGAGACAAUUGAAAAUGUUCGAUUUCAUUUAGUAAGAAGUGGAAUGAUUGAGACAUAUAGCACUUGAAACUAUCAUGGGGAACAAUUAGACAAAGCUUCCUCUUCAAGGGCCACAAGAGUGGACAAUGUUGAACCUAUUUUGGAUUCUAAUGAACAAGUCAUGGAUAUUAUAAAUGAUGCUUUUCCAUUUGCAUUGACCAACAUCAAUCAAGAAGAGGAAGAUGACAUGUCUACACCAAUGGACAGUGCGGAGUUCGAACAGUAUGAAAAACUGUUAAAAAAUGCAAAUCAAGAGUUAUACUCGGCGUGCGAGAGUUUUUUCGUUCUUAUGGCCAUUGUGGAGCUAAUGCAAGGAAAAAUAAAGUAUCAUAUGUCGAACCAAUGUUUCGAUUACUUUUUGGGCCUUUUCAAGAGAAUGCUUCCGACGGACAAUUGUUUGCCGAAAAACCAUAGACACCCGCAGAAGGUCUUGAAUGGCCUUGGAUUGAGUUAUGAAAAAAUGUACGCAUGCAAAAAUAAUUGCAUGUUAUUCUACAAAGAGCAUGAAACAUUGGAUAUAUGCCCUAUAUGCAAUGAGUCGAGGUUCAAAAUGACUUCUCAUAAUAGAAUGACUAAGAUCCCACAAAAAGUUAUGCGUUAUCUGUCCCUAAAACCAAGGUUGCAACGAUUGUAUAUGUCAACGCAUACUGCCACAGAUAUGAGAUGGCAUAAGGAAAAACGGGUAGACAACGAUGUGAUGCGACAUCCUGCAGAUGGGGAGGUAUGGAAAGAGUUUGAUCGAACGUUCCUCGAGUUUGCUGCUGAUUCCCGAAAUGUUAGAUUGGGACUUGCCACUGACGGAUUCAAUCUGUACGGGGUUCUAAACCAACACCACAGCACUUGACCGAUUUUCGUAUUCCCAUAUAAUUUGCUGCCUUGAAAAUAUAUUAAAAAAGAAUACAUGAUGAUGACUGUUUUGAUAACUGAGGAUCCUGGCAGGUCAAUCGAUAUGUACUUAAGGCCGUUGGUUGAUGAGCUGAAGGAUUUAUGGACAAACGGUGUGCGCACGUUCGAUAAAUCGACUGGGAAGAUGUUCACUUUAUGGGCAAUAGUUAUGUGGACUGUGAAUGAUUUUCCCGCAUAUGCAAUGGUUUCUGGAUGGAGCACAAAGGGUUAUAUGGCAUUCUCUGUAUGCAAGGAAGAUGUAUGCCCAGCUGUCCUCUCGUCCCUCCAACUCCUUCGGAUGGUGGUGCAGGUCGCUCUUCCAUUGCUUGUACCUCUCAGCAAAGGGUCUGUUGACGUACGCUAUCGACUUAUCAUCGAGGUCCUCUACAUUGUAGUUCGUCUGCAAUUUAUUAAUUACAUACAUUAAGUAAUAGAAAUAUAGAAAGUUUGAACUUACAAAACAUUUAAAAGGUAGGAUACAUACCGACAACUGUCCGAGCACCUCCGUCCGCAUCUCCUCAGACAUGAACUUCCAAGACUUCCAUUGCAUAGGGCAAUAGGUCCGAACGACGUGCCCAACGUCGUGGGCCAAAGAUCUAUGCAAUUCAGCCGUUGGUGCAACUGAUGCCGCACGUCGUAUCCGAUGCUAAUACGACUGUUGGUCACUAGGGUGACCUUCGCCGUCUUCAACUGCCGACAAGGUCCACGGGUGUUCUUCUUGGCUGUAAAGAAAUAGAAAGUAUACUGUUAAUAGUAAUCAUACAAAAAUGUUGGACAACAACAGAUGGAGUCAAGGCAAUCUUUACCUGGCUGUGAUCUGACGCACAAGUACGUCUAUCGAUGCUGUGUCACUCAUGCUGGGGGGCGGUGACGACGUUUGGCACGAAGAGGUUGCGCCACAGAUGAUGCAGAUGACGCCGAGGGAUCACGAGGCAACUGCUCCAUCUGUGAUGGAGCAGUGAUAGCAGCAGGCUGAGCCGGAGGAGGCGAACUUUGUCCAGUGGUCACCGCCUUACUGCUUCGAAUAAGGUUUGACAUCUUGGCCAAGGAAAAACAUGUAACAUUUAAUAAUGUUUUAGGCAAAGCAUGUAACGUAGUUAAUCUAAUUGGGUUAACAUGUAACGAAAUAAAAAUAAAUAUUGAAACAACUAAUAAAACAAAAACAUAUCAUAAUUAUUAACAAACAUAAUUUUUUUUUUUUCCAAUUUAACAAUCUUAACUAAUUUUAAUUAAAGCAUAUCUUGUCUGGGGGUUAGCAAUUCCGGAGUAUCCGGGAUUCCGAUCGAAAAUCAAUCGAAUCCAAUACGAUCCUAGAAAUACAUGGAACAACAUGCGUGAUUUUUAGUUUGAUCCAACGGUCCGAACACAUCAAACCCGAAAAUUGCAUAAUAGGCGAAAUCUACUCUACACUGAAACGGUAACCAAAUUGAAAUCCUAACACACCUACGCGCUCGUGACAACUAGGGGAUCGCAGUGGGACACAAUGUCCCUCUGCUACAGUACCCACGCCCCGCCACAUGCGUCGGCAACGCAUGGAGUCCAAAGCGAUAAGGAUCGCAGGAAAUUUCACAAAAUUACAGACCAAGCUUCCUACCCUAGGUUCAAAACAACAAUUGGAGCCACUCUGGUUCUUGGGCCUACCCCGAAAAAUGGCCGGAAGUGGCCGGAAAUUCAAAUAAAAAAUUGGCUGAUUUAUUUUCUACAAAUUCACAUACCAAAACCAAAAAUUCAUAAAACCCUAUCCAACCAUCAGCUAGAGCACAAAAUUUAGUCGAGAAUGCAUACCUCAAUCGUCUAGUUUCGUGGCCAGAGGAGAGAGAAAUUGCCCAACGAAAAUCUGCCCAAUUCCGACGGUGUUGCGGCGGCGGAAGCGGUGUGCUUCGAAGGGGUGGUCGGCGGAAGGGCUAUGUGUGGGUUGAGGAGGCAGGACGUGGCGGUUAUGGUGGGAGGGCUAUCGGGAGAAAGAGGGAGGCGAAGGAAGGAGAUAGACCAAACCAGGGGUCAGUCGUGUUUUUCAGAAAAUUUACAAGCCUUUGAGCGACGAAGACUUAAACCGUCGUGCAACAUAUAUUUUUCUAACCCUUACGCGACAAUAAAGCUAAAACCGUUGCGCAAAAACGUCGUGCCACUCAAAAUUUUGGACCCUUGCGUGAUGAGAAAGGUGAAACUGUCGCGCAAGGCCGUCACCCUGCCCAAAAUUUCACACCUUUGCGUGACAAAAAACACAAACCGUCGCGCAAGGACGUCUGGCCGCCCAAAAUUUCAGCCCCUUGCGCGACAAAAAAAACCCAAAUCGUCGCUCAAGGACCCAAAACCCAAAAAAUUUCAGCCCCUUGCACGACAAAAAAACCCAAACCGUCGUGCAAGGACCCUAAACCCUAAAAAUUUCAGCCCCUUGCGCGACGGUUAAGCAUGAACUGUCGCGCAAGGACGUCAUGACGUUCCAAAUUUCAGACCCUUGCGCGACGACAAUUUAUCCGUCACGCAAAACGGAAACCCUGAUCCGUGAACCCUAAACCCUAAAGCCACAGUUAUACCAGAUAGCGACGAAGCUUCCGUCGUCGCAUAAAGAUAUGCGCAACGAAUAAAUUCUUUCGUCCCGCAAAACAAAUAUGCGCGACAGUUUUCUCCAUUCCACUAACGUGUGCGCGACAAUUUGCCCCGUUCGUCACGCAAAAUUUUUUUAAAAUCAUAUUACUGAAUUCCCUUUUAAAUGGAAAAAAAGUGGAUGUUCCUUGCCAUUAUUUUGAAAAAAUGAUUAGAAUGUGGAUCAUAAGGUCUGAAUUGAAUUAGGAUUGACCAUUUUCAAUUUAACAAAGACUUAAUUACUCAUCCACAACAUAGCCGGUAUAUUAUGUAUACGUAUCAAGUUAGAGUACAUUAACUUGUACAAACUCACCACAAUGUCAAUGAGGCAUAUUGUUUAUAUAAGUAUUGCUAUAUACGUAUAUUUCCUCCAUGUACACACAUACAUUAUAUAGAUGGCAUGCACAUAUAUAUAUUUAUAUAAAAAAAACCUUCAUACUUAUAUAUACAUUAUAUAUUUAUAUUUAUAUAAUUGUAUAACAUAUAAAUUUUAUAAAAUCGUAUUAAUAAAUUCCCAUAAAUAUUUAUAUAUUCUUAUAUUUCUAUACACACGAAAUAUAUAUAUAUAUAUACACACACAUAUACAGUGUAUAUUAUAACUUAGUAUAAUGUAUUAUAUACUUUGUCUAUAUUUAUAUAUAUAUAUAUAUUUGUGCGACGACACAUGUAUUGGUCACGUUAACAUCUCUUGCGCGACGAAAUAAUCCUAUUUGUCGUGUGAAGGUUCCUUGAGCGACAAUACAAAUUUAUUAUACAUUCUCGAUGAGGGUCUUGCACAUCAUAAAACUAACCAAUAUAUUACUUAGUUGGGAUUUGAUAUUACAUAAGCAUGGAUGCGAGAGAAUUUUGAACAUGCUCAAUCACCUAUAAGAGACGGAACAACUACUUGUCCAUACAUAUUGACAUGAGCAGUAAUUUCUUACUAAUAUUGUAGUAUGAUAUACUAUAAGUAAUUGGUCAGACAAGUGCAGUGAAAUGAGUUGCCAACAACUCUUAUUUAUAGCAACUAGCCCAUACUAAACAAGUUUAUACGAAUAGUUUAUUAUGGUCGUGUGAUGGUGGUCGACUUCUUGGAGGGGAUUGUGGAUAAAUUCUUCGAUGGGGUGGUGGCAUACUUCUUGGAGGCGGACUUCUUGGAGGGGGAGGUGGGGGACUUCUUAGAGAUGAUGGUGGCGGANNNNNNNNNNNNNNNNNNNNNNNNNNNNNNNNNNNNNNNNNNNNNNNNNNNNNNNNNNNNNNNNNNNNNNNNNNNNNNNNNNNNNNNNNNNNNNNNNNNNNNNNNNNNNNNNNNNNNNNNNNNNNNNNNNNNNNNNNNNNNNNNNNNNNNNNNNNNNNNNNNNNNNNNNNNNNNNNNNNNNNNNNNNNNNNNNNNNNNNNNNNNNNNNNNNNNNNNNNNNNNNNNNNNNNNNNNNNNNNNNNNNNNNNNNNNNNNNNNNNNNNNNNNNNNNNNNNNNNNNNNNNNNNNNNNNNNNNNNNNNNNNNNNNNNNNNNNNNNNNNNNNNNNNNNNNNNNNNNNNNNNNNNNNNNNNNNNNNNNNNNNNNNNNNNNNNNNNNNNNNNNNNNNNNNNNNNNNNNNNNNNNNNNNNNNNNNNNNNNNNNNNNNNNNNNNNNNNNNNNNNNNACGAUUGUUGGGUGGUGGUGGUGGUGGUGGAUUACUUGGAGGGGGUGGAGGCGAUUUGUUGGGUGGUGGCGGAUUGUUUGGUGGUGGUGGUGGUCUUAGAAAAAUAGGGGGUAGUAUCAAUGUAAUAGCACUAUUAGGUAUAGUACUAGUAGGUGGCUUGAGUUGCUCAUGAUGUUCUUCAGCAAGACAUGAAGUGAUGAGAACCACCACUCCCAGCAAUAGCACAAGAAAUUUUAAGUAACUCAUCUUUGAGCUUAUGAAGUUACAAAGAUCAUAUGGAGCAUCCUUUUAUAGUGGUAUGGGUGAUUGGUAAUUGUAUUUAUAAUUUUGCUAAAUAGGGUGGUUGGUGAUUGUUAUAGAUUAGAGGUCCAUGCAACAUUAAUUGAGAUCAUAAGUUGGAGAAUUUGGGCAGUUGCUUGUUUGAUAUAUGCUAGAGAACGUUCAAAAUGUAAUGCAUAUUGGUUUUUUAUUUAUUUAUUUAUUUAUUUAUAGUAUAAGUGAUAUUAUAAACUACAGGAGAAUGAGAUUUCUCUUAUAUACACACAACUACGAUGUAGGAUUUAAAUAGAAAAACUCAUACUCUUAUCAUUGAGCUAUGAACUAGCAGAUAUUAAAUCUUACUCGUGUCAAAAGAGUUUAGGCUAAUUGCCCACUCUGAAAUGAAUGAGAAUGAGGGAGAUAAAAUUGUCAUAAAAGGACAGAACAAAAUAAUACAUAAGUUUUCUAAAAAUAAUAAUACAUAAUUUUUUAACAAAAAUAGCAACGGGCAUCCUUUUUUCUUCUUCUUUGGUUUGGUCCUCCCGUUCUAUUCACGGCAAUACCACUGAGGUGAUUGAGAAAUAGGCAUUGACAAUAAUACAUAAAUUUAAAGUCUAAACUCCAAGCUUAGCUUAGGGUUAAGUAUCCAAUAUUAAAGUUUAUGUCUUCCCUUGUGCUGCUGGUAGUAUUCAUCCACUCUUCAAAAUAUAGGAAGUAGAGUUGGGGGUUUGGCAUGAUGAGGUGGUGGUGGUGGUCUCACUAUAGGGGUUGUGUGGUCAUCAAAACCCUUUUAAUUUCCACCAAAACCCUGAGAUUGACUUUGUUGGAAAAUUUAAUAUUAACUAAUAUUGAUUUUCCUAUUUGAAUGGAAAUUAAUAAAAUUUAUUGGGUUAAAGACAUGACUCUUGGGUUAAAGACAUGACUCUUGGGUUAAAGACAUCUUCACAUGGGAGGUGACAACUUUUCAGACCAAGGGAUGCAUUGUUUGCCUUUUCAGAUUGAGAUACCUUUUUAGAAAGGGUAUUUCAUCAUCUAUAAAUAGAGCAAUCCUCCUGCAGUUUUAUUCAUUCAUGUUAAUUCUCUACAUACAGACUUUCACAUAUAGAAAGCAUUAGAGUUUUCAUAAAGAGAGGUUCCUGCAUAAUUUGGUUCAAAGUUCCUUGUGAAUUGCAGUGCUUCUUUCACAAGGAGGGGAGUCGUUGUAUCCUGAGAGGUGAACGCUAGUGAACCAUAAGCACCGUUGUGGGGCGUAAUUCGUCUUAAGGUCAAAGUGUCCAACACUUGCUUCGACUCAAUCAAGGUUCUUCUAAUUCAAUUCUCCUUUUGUAAAAAUCUAUUUUAUGUGCAGUAUUUAUUUUGUUUAUUUAUAGCAAUUUAGCACUCAUAUUUCCAACAGACUUGAUUGCCCUUCAAAAAGAAGAUUUCUCUGUAAUCCAUGUGAUAUUUGUGUGAUGAACUAACUCUUAGUCGAGUAGUAUUUAUUUUCCUAAUACAAAAAGAUGCGUCGAAUUGAAACCCUGUUCCUCUUAAUUUCCCCCUCAAACAGUUUGAGGGUAAAGUUAGUCUUAUGAUAUUAUGACUGUAGAGAGCUAGAACCAAGCAAAACAUUUUGUAUAUCUUUUCCUGUUUCUGGGUUUUAGGUUUAGCCCUUCCUUUUUUGGUUCGUUAGGCUCUUGGUUUCCUUUUAUUUUUUGGGCCGACGGAUUGAAUGUCAAAACCCAAAAUAUGUAAGUUCCAUAUACAUUUUCCAAACGAAUCUUAUGAUCUAAAUUGAAGAAUUUUAUGAUCUAAAAUUGUUGGUCGUAGGUAUUUUAUGGUUGGAGCCCUUCUGUUGUUCUUUGGGCUCAAGUUUAUUUACUUAUUUUGGGCUAUUUAUGACUUUUUGGGUCCCUUUCAAUUGAAGGGUCACUCUCAAAUAGAACAUAUUAUUGCUGGAAAUAGUUUUGCUCGUGAAAAAUAAAGAAAUUCGGUUUGCUGGAAAUAGCCAUUGACAAUAAUACAUUUUAAAGUCUUAAACUCUAAACUUAGCUUCGGUUAAAUAUUCCAUUAAUGGCAGAAUGUUAAGGCUAAAAGUGUAGGAAUGCCAGCCAAAGGGUAUUAUUAACUAGGGCUGGCAAUGGGUCGUGUCGUGUCGGGUUCGUGUCGUGUCGGGAUAAUAAACGUGUCAAGAAUGCUCAACCCGAACCCAACCCAUUUAAUAAACGUGUCGUGUCGGGUUCGGGUCGUCUUUUAUCGUGCGGGUUUCGAGUCGUGUAACGGGUUCAUAAAGAAUAACAUGCAUGUUACAAAACUCACAACCGAAAAAAUUUUAAUUAAAAAAAACAGAGAGAGUGGAGAAAAUAUAAGGAAAAGAAAGAAAGAAAAAAGAUAGAGAGAGGAGAGAAGAGAGAAGGAAAAGAAAGAAAAAAAAAUAGAGAGAGAGAGGGGGAGAGAGAGAGAGAGAGGAGAGAAGAGAGAAGGAAAAGAAAGAAAAAAAAAUAGAGAGAGAGAGGGGGAGAGAGAGAGAGAGAGGAGAGAAGAUUGAAGGAAAGAAAGAAAGAAAAAAGAGAGAUGAGAGAAAACUAAAGAGAAGGAAAAAAAAAGAAAAAAAAAAGGAGAGAAGAGGAAAGGAAAAGAGAAGAAAAAAAAAAGAGAGAGGAGAAGAAAGAAGGAAAAAAAAGAAAAAAAAAAUGGAGAAGAGAGACGGAAAAGAAAGGAAAACUCAAAAGAAAAAGAAACAUUAUAAAUAUCAAAAGGCAUACCAUAAAAUCACAAAGUUAGUUGUAGCAUGGUGGAUAAGUUGUUUGAGAAAAUGAGGAUGGGAGGGGUUCGAAACCCCUUGUGUGUGUGUUGAAGUCUCCAUUUGUCUUUAUUUUUUAGCGGGUUAGAGGGUUGUACACGGGUUGACACGACCCGUGACACGACCCGUUUAAUAAACGGGUUAGAUAGGUAUUAUAGCGGGUUAGCGGGUUGACUCGAAACCCACCCGUUUAUUAAACGGGUCAGAACGGGUUGACCCGAAAUUGACCUGUUUUUUUAUUGUGCGGGUUGAACCCGCUAAUUUCUCGUGCGGGUUUCGAGUCGUGUAUCGGGUCGUAUCCGAAAUUGCCACCCCUAUUAUUAACUGCGUCCAAGAAGCAUACUAAUAUCUUCUUUAUACGUCUGUGAGUCAUUAGUGAAUCUUAAUUGGUAUCAUGCUUUAUGCAUGGUUACUUACUUUGAUAUUCAAGGAGUAGAAGAAAUAAAUUUAUUGUGGUGUGGUAAUUUAAAUCAUGAAUAUAUAUAUAUAUAUAUAUGCAUGGAGCUUCCGUUAAGCGAUUCCUUAAAUAAGUUUAUUUGAGAUACACUCUUGUAGGGCCCACCAUACAUUGUAAUUCAUUAAUCCCAAUCAUCUUUGAAAAAAAUCACUUGAAUCCGAUAUCAUUUGAUCACUCAAUUAAAUUAUUGAAAUUUUAAUAAUUUCUUGACGCACCGUGUUCAUUGAUUUUGUAGGACACAAUUAGAUGUCUAAAUGGUUUCUGAUUUAUGUAAUUUUUUGCAAAGAUGAUUUAUAAAUGAAGAUUUCAAAAAUAGAUGGUUUGGAUUGUUAGAAAAAUAUUCGUAGGAUACCCUAAAGGUUCUACUUGAAAUAAAAUUAUUUGAGGGAUCUCUCAAUAGAAGGAUUGAAACACCUGAUUUGCACUAUCUCUGGAGCAAGACUAUUACAACUUGUUAAUUCAAAUUCAACAGAUUUACGCUAUAUACAUAAUUGUAAUCGUAAUCAUAUGAUUCAAACUUGAAACCCCAUUCAACUAAGUGAAUACAGCUACCCAUAAAAUCAUAAACUAGUUGAUACCAUAAUUAUUUAAUAUAAACAAAUUUUGAAUCCGUAUUUUCUGUUUAGUACCGUGCCUUUAUGCUGCUUUGUUCAUAUACUUGUAGUCUGCUAGUGAUGAAAAUGUUUGAGAUUAAAUUUAUUGAAGAUUUCCUGAUUUUGCUAGUUCUGUUUGCCAACCGAUUAUAAUUCUUUGUAUGUUCUGAAACCUUUGUUCAACAUGGUGGGUUUUAUAAUUUAGAAUAGAAGCUUAAAUUUUAUGAAUAAAACUUACUCACUUGGGAAAUAAUUGUUUUUUAAACAAAGAGAAUCUGAACAUAUGCUCCCUCGGAUACAAAGCAAAUUAGAACACCAACUUGUCCAAACAUAAUGAUGAUGACAUGAGCAUUGGUUACAAACACUAAUAAUUAGUUUAUGGUCAUUAAUUUGGAUGAAUAUGUGGUGUUGAGUUUGGGGUGUGGGGUUGUCUUGUAGUAUGGGGGCAGCUUCUAAUUAUAUAUGGAGCUGGAGUGAAUUUAAUAUAUAUCUUUCCCUGUGCUGGUAGGAUUCAGGACUCUUCAGUAUAGGAGGUAGAGUUGGGGGUUUGGCAUGAUGAGGUUGUGGUCUCACAAUGGGAGGUGAAGAACUUGGUGCUUUUUUUAAUAUAAUAUAAUUAUAAAUUAAUUUAAUUUACGGAGAAGGGAAUUUGAGCUUCAGUGCAGGAGGGGCCGGCUUACUAUCCUAGCCAAUUGGCUUACAUCUGUAAAGAACUUAUUGAUUUGACAGGUGGCUCUACUAUGAGAAAAACUUAUAUGAAACAGGGAUAUCACGGUUUUGCUAUCCCUAACCAAUUAUGCUAUGCCAAGUGGAAAAGUUAUCACGUGUGGCAUAGCAUGAUUGAUAGAGGAUAGCAAACCAGUGCUAUACCCAUUGCACAUAAGCAAGGUCUAAAAUAUCGAGAAAAUAUUGGACUCGUUCAAGGUUAAAGAAAACUUAAAAAACAUUAGCCUCUCUCUCUCUCUCUCUCUCUCUCUCUCUCUCUCUCUCUCUCUCUCUCUCCUUGCCGACAACCAACCUUUCUUAAGCUAGGGGAGGUGUCCACUGCCGCUCCUCCCCUCUGCCCAUCUUCUCCAUUCCUAUCCUCUCUCCCAUCUUUUUCCAUUCCUCUCAUCUUUUUUCUCCCUCUUUCCACUUUCCUUAGGGCUCUUGCUGGCCCUUAUCUCCCAUUCCUCUUCUCCUCUCUAGAUAUACUUAGAUCUUGGGCUUUUAGCCUUGAUUUAUUUGGAUCUAGGUAUGUUUGUGUGUUUUUUUUGUUUGGCUAUUUUUGCACUGUUCUAGGUGGCUGGUGUUGUCUUCAUCUCGGUGGCUACAUGUAACAUCCCACAUCGACUUACGAAGAGGGGAUGAUGUGACUUAUAUGUACAUGCUCACCUCCAUCUAGCACGAGGCCUUUUGGGAGCUCACUGGCUUCGGAGUCAUGAGAACUUCGAAGUUAAGCGAGUUUGGGCUAGAGUAAUCUCAGGAUGGGUGACCCAUUGGGAAGUUGCUCAUAAGUUCCCAGAAACAAAAAUCGUAAAGGCAGGGGGCCCAAAGCGGACAAUAUCGUGCUACGACCGAGCCGAUCAGGAAUGUGACACUGCAACAGUAGUGACGCUGGAUUGGGUCUCUCUCUUUAGGAGAGUUGGGAUACUUGGUGACUAAUAUUUUGUCUUUGUUUCAACGAUCGCGGCAGCAUCGACGCUGGUUGUAGUUGUUGGCAUGUGGUGGUGUGCCCUCUGAGGGGUUUCGUCUUCUGUUUUAGCAUAUGUUUUGUUGUCAUUUUCCAUUGUUUUGUUGCUCAUUUGCAGCUUGUCUCUACUCUGUGCAGCCCAAAGACCUAUGUUUGGUCAUAUGAGUUCCUUUGUCAUGUUCUAAGUUGAGUUGGAGUGCUUUUAAGAGGCCUCUCUUAUUAUUAUUUCAUGCUCUUCAACUGUGUGCUUUCUUGGGUUUCUGUCAUUUGUGUGUUUUUGUAGUUCGUAGGCAGUUAAAUGACUAUGAGUUUAUCUCAUAAAAGGCUUCUUUUGACAAUUGGGAUGCGAUGCGGUUCUCUUUAUGGGUCUAUUGUGUUAGUGUUUAAUUGAUUUUUUUUUUUCUGUUCUUGUAAUGGUCUUUUGUGGUUCAGGUCUUAGUCCUUGGCAUGUGUAGUACUCUUUCCUAUCCUAGGGUUUGUCUAAAGUGGUUUUCCUAAUAAGGUUUUAAUUAGGCUAUUGUAUUCAUACUAGUCUUUGUAUGCCGUUUUGGCUUAUUAAUGAAAUCUUCUUCUAUAAAAAAAGGUCUAAAAUAUCAAGGGUUUAGGAAAUAUCGGAGGUCCAAAAAUACGGAAAUAUUGGGAAAUUAUCGAUAUCGAGAAAAAUUGAAUAAAAACCACUGAAACUGUAAGAAAAUUUUGAUUCAAACUUUAGAGGUUGUUUAUUUUGUCAAUUAUCUAUUAUUUUGAUUUAUUUAAGUUGAUUAUAUAGCGAGCUAACAAACAAUAUGAGUGCAGAAAAUAUGUAGUAAUUAAUGAAAAAAAUUAAAUGCCCAUAAUCAUUUAUUCAUAAUGAUUUACUAUAAUAUUUUACACUUUAUAUAUUGCAUGGUAAGAUGCACAAGUGACUUAGUACCACAUAGAGUUCCUAUGAGGUUCAAAAUUUUCAUUGUCUUCAUCGUCUCUAUGUGUAGAGUACGUGUACUAUGAAGAGUAGUCAUCAAAUGGUAAAUUCCCAAAAUAGCUUUGCAUGUAAUUGUUAACAUGUCACCCAUAAAGAUCCAAGAUUGGUUGACGUUGCCCAUAAGCAAAAUCAUUUGAAGAUUGGGCAUCAGAUUCUUUUCAUGAGCCGCUUGAUUCUAUCCCAAAAGGCAUGGGAUACGAAGCAUAAGGAAAGAGUUGGUUUUGCAUAUAAUAAAGUCAUUAGCAGUGUGGAGGAUAAGGCAUUGGAGGAAGAAUUGAAGUGGCACGGGUUCGAAUCCCCAUGCUUACACGCGUACAAGCCUUUUCAAUUUUUUUUUUUCUAUUCCAUGUCCAUAUUGCAUUAUUAUCACUAUUAUCACGAUAUUUUGAGCAAAUGUUGAUGUUAAUUGAAGGAUAUUAUUAGUGUCGAAAUUUUCCCAAAAUUUUCACGAUAUUAUCUAUAUAUAUAAAGCAAAAGGCAGAGAAUGGUGAAACAUUCAAAAUACCAGAAAAUGCCCUUGGUUAAUACAAACAUUAAGAAUUGAAAUUAUUAAUUAAAUGAGGAUAAUAUGGUAAAUUCAUAAUUUUUCGUAUUAAAAAAAUUAAAAUUAAAAGAAAAUUCAGAUAAUAGGUCCUAUUUUUAUGGAACACAAAUAUCCAUUAUCUUUUUUAAUUCUAAAAUAAAUUUAAAUUUUUUUUAAAAAAAACCUCUCGCAUGCGCGGAAGCGCGUGUAGAGAGGCUAGUCUAUAUUUAUAUGAUAAGUACACAGAUCUGUUCCAAAAUAUCCCCUUGCCGAAAAACGAUAAUAUCCUCAAUAUUUCAGCGAUAUUAUCGAUAUUUCAGUCCUUGCACACAAUUAAGUUUCUCCUCUACUAUAGCACAAUCUCCAAACAAUAGCACACGCAACUUUGAGAAACUUUUGAAAGCAAUUUUCCAUCAAAAUCCUGAUAUUGAUUUGAUUGCCCUCCACAAGAAAACAUUCUAUGUAAUCAAUUUGACACGUGUGAUCAUAUUGCCCUUAAUAUAUUAGUACUUUUUUUCUUCUUCUGAAAACAAGAAGAGGUUUCAAAUUUAAAUCCCUUUUCCGUUAAUUUUUUUUUAAAAAUGAUGUUGGUGUAGUGCCUAUUAAAGAUGGCUUGGCGGUAAAGUUAGUCUAAUGAGAUUCUAAGAUAUAGAUGGAUUGUUUAGUUCAAGAUUUAGGAGCUUAGUAAUUGGUAUGAAAUUGCAUUCCCAUAUUUGGUAAAUGCAUUUUUUAGAAUGCAAUACCUAACUCAUUAGUAUGAAAUUCUCAUGUAGAGAGAAUUUCAUACCUUUAGUGCUCCUUGGGAAACUCUUCGUCUAUUGACCCUUAAAAUAGGGUCUAGUCUAGUGGAAAAGAGCAUUGACUUGCAGGUCAGUUGUCUCAUGUUUGAAUCUAGAUGGCACUUUGGAUGUGAGAAACCCUUUUGUAGGACUUAGACUAUCAAUAAUAUUAAAAUAAUACUAAUAAUAACUCAAGGGUGUUACUGAAAAACUGAAAAACUGAAAACUGAAAAACUUUUCAUUUAUAAUACUACACGAACCACACAUAGGAAUGCGAGAAAAUGGCUUUUCCUAAUUCUCACUUCCCAGCGUUCCCAAUCAUGGGAAUGAACAUCCGUCAUUCCCAUAUCGUAGGAUUAGACAUGGAAAUUUCAUUCCCAUGAAAUUUGCAAACCAAACGGGACAGAGAGUUGGAACAAUGCAAAGAUUUUGUUUAUCUUUUGGUUGGGCCAAUAAGUUUCUGGGCCUCCAUUUAUUGUAUCUGGGCCGUUAGAUUUCGGCCUCCCUGUUCUGUUUGUAACCCAGCGGAGGUUGGAGCGCUUUUCUUGUUCUUUGGGCUUAGUUAUAUUUCCUUGUUCUUUGGGCUAUUUCUAAAUUAUUUGGGUUGUGCCUUUUUCUGCGUUUGACGUCGUUUAAUGUUUAAUUUGUUUGAUUUUUGAGUUGGAGCUGGUUGGGUCCUUCUCAUUUGAAGGUAGGGUCAGUCUCAAAUGGAAAAUAUUAUUGCUUGAUGUGAAAAAUAAAGAAAUUCGGUUUUGUGGGCUUAUGGCCUAAAUUAAUUGAGGAAUAAUGCCAUUCAAAAGACUGAAUUAACAUGACCCACAUUUUUCCAUCCUGGAAAACUUGUUCCUUAAGCAGAUCAUGGCUACUGAUGAAGUAAAGAAGAAAGGGAUGCUUAAAAAGAGAUAUAUAUAUAUAUAUAUCAAAUGAGCCAAGAAUUAAUGAAAUUUUGUAAAACUGAGAUUACUGAAUUACUUGAAAAAGGAAUAAUCUGUAAGAUUAGUCACCCUGGUCUUGUCCUGCUUUCUAUGUCCAGAAAAAUGCUGAAUUAGAACGCGGAGUCCUAAGAUUAGUCAACCCAAGUGGCUGGUUUAGAUUUUCUGAGUCAAAAGAGUCUUUGAGCACAGCUUCAAGAAAGUCACUCCAGUUGAAUUAUGAGAUUCCUAAAGCCCAUGUCUGUCAAAAUAAAAUCUGUUUUAAGACUUCUUUUGUCUUAGUUAAGAACAUUACUGAUGAAGUCAUCCUAGGUUUAUCCUUUAUUGCCCUUUUAUAUCCUUUCCAGGUAGAACACGAUGGAGUCAUUUCCACCUGUUUAGGAGAAAAGGUUAAGUUUGAAUUCCUUAGUAAACCAGAGUUACAUAAUUUAAAAGAAUUACAAAAGAAUGCAGUCACUAAAACAAUCAGAGUCAUUCAAAAUAAAGAUAAGCAACUAAAAUUCCUCCAGGACGAAGUUAAAUAAAAAAGAAUUGAGCAACAGCUUAGUCAUGAGUCUUUACAGUCACAAAUUCGACAGUUUGAAGAAAAAUUAAAACAAGAAGUUUGUUCUGAGUUGCCCAACGCCUUUUGGCAUAGGAAACAGCAUGUAGUCAGCCUUCCUUAUGUCAAAUCCUUUAGUGAGAAAAAUAUCCCCACUAAAGCCAGACCAAUUCAAAUGAGCCAAAAAUUAAUGGAAUUUUGUAAAACUGAGAUUACUGAAUUACUUGAAAAAGGAAUAAUCCGUAAGAGUAAGUCACCUUGGUCUUGUCCUGCUUUCUAUGUCCAGAAAAAUGCUGAAUUAGAACACAGAGUCCCAAGAUUAGCCAUUAAUUACAAACUGCUUAAUACUGUUUUAGAAUGGAUUAGAUAUCCAAUCCCCAAUAAAAGAGAUUUAAUUAAUCGUUUAGAGAAGUCAGUCAUCUUUUCUAAAUUUGAUAUGAAGAGUGGAUUUUGGCAAAUCCAAAUUUGUGAGUCUGAUAGAUAUAAAACUGCUUUCGUUACCCCAUUUGGUUAUUAUGAGUGGAAUGUUAUGUCAUUUGGUCUUAAAAAUGCACCCAGUGAGUUUCAAAAUAGAAUGAAUGAGAUUUUUAUUCCAUUUAAUCACUUUUCCAUAGUCUAUAUUGAUGAUGUACUUAUAUUUUCUGAGUCAAUAGAACAGCACUGGAAAAAUUUGCAUAAGUUCUUACAAAUAGUCAAACAAAAUGGAUUAGUCGUAUCUGCUAAGAAAAUUAAGUUAUUCCAAACUAAUGUGAGAUUUCUUGGGUUUAAUAUCUGUCAGUCACAGAUUAGCCCCAUAGAUCGAGUUAUCCAAUUUGUUGAUAAAUUUCCUAAUCAAAUCCUAGACAAAAGUCAACUCCAGAGAUUUCUAGGAUCUCUAAAUUAUGUUUCUAAUUUCUAUAAGAAUUUGAGAAAACAAUGUAAGCCUUUAUUUGAUCAUGUAUGGAGACGUCUAAUGAUAAGAGGCAACUGGAAGAUUAGACGGAGCAAUAUCUUGGAAGGGAUCAUGACUGGAUAUUAGGGCAGACUGAAAACUGGGGCGAACCUGGCCGACUGUGGCUCCUAGGUUGGCAAAUCUGUUACUAAUUUGGAUGGGAGAAAAUCCCUGAAAGGGGAGGAUCUGAGCAGGUGACUCUUGUUUGGCUUGACUCAUUGAUGGAGGGAGGACUCGGAGUGACUGGGGUUGACUAGACUGACCAACUUGACUCUUUUGCUUGUCUUUUUCUUUUCUUCUUUAUGCCAUUGUUUUCCCUGCAGGAAUUCUCUAGUAAGAAAAUCAGGGACAAAAUAUAUAUAUGGAGUUUGAGUUGAGGGAUCUCUCAAAUAAGCUUAUUUGAGAGACAACUUGUAGGGUACACUCUUUGUUGUAUUUCACUAAUCCUAACCGUCUAUUUUUUAGAUAUUCAUUCAAAGAUCAUCUCUACAAAAAAUCACUUGAAUCCAAUAUCAUUUGACAAUUCAAUUGAAAUAUUGAAAUUUUAGUAUUUUCUUGAAGCACUGUGUUAAUUAAUUUUGUAUGACACAAUUGAAUAUUGAAAUAGUUUCCGAUUUGUCCAAUUUUUUUUCAAGGAUGAUCUAUAAUUGUAGGCUUAAGAAAUAGAUGGUUUGGAUCGUUGAGGGAUCCCUCAAAUAAUCUUAUUUAAAAGACACCUUUGUAGAGCUCACUCCACAUUGUAUUUCACUAAUCUAAACCGUUUAUUUUUUAGAUAAUCAUUCAAAGAUCACCUCUACAAAAAAUCACUUGAAUCCGAUAUCAUUUGACAAUUCAAUUGAGUUAUUGAAAUUUUAGUACUUUCUUAAACUACCGUGUUCAUUGAUUUUGAAGGACAUAAUUGGAUUUCGGUUUCUAUUUGUCAAAAUAUAUAUAUAUUGAACUACUUUUUGUUGCCAUUGUCUGCUGCUAGAUUCACACACACAUAUAUAUGCUCUUCCAUUGAUGAAGCUGGCAUUAUAUUUAUAGUGAAUUUCGUGAUGUGGAUUAUUGUGUUUGCGGACCAAUCAUUCUCUGUAUGUUGUGAAAGCUUUGUUUAUCAUGGUGGGUUUUGUCAUUUAAAAACAUAUACAAUGUCAACCAACCAAUUUUACAAUAUCAUAAAACACAAGUAAUAGUAUUACUGCAGUUGGAAAUUGAUAUUGCAUACAUAUAUAAAGCAAGAAACAACAUGCUCAAUCAGCCACAAGUGAAGAAACAACUUGCUGAUACAUAACCACAUGACAUGAAAAUUUCAUGCAAAUAACUAGUAAUUAUAAUGGAGUCACACUAGAAGCUGCUGCAAAAUGAGUUGGUGUCCAGAACUCUUAUUUCUAGCAAGCAACUGGCUCUCUCUCAUUUAUUCUAACUCACUAGUUGAGAUGGACAGGUGGAGUUCAGGGCUUCUGGGGUGGAUUGUAGUAUGGGGGAGGCUUCUUCUUAUAUGGAGUUGGAGGAGGAGGAGGUUUCUUCCCUUCUGGCUUUUGUGGGGGUAGAGGAGCCUUGAUUGGAGGAGGGUGUUUAGGGUAACUAGGUGUGAUUGGUUUCACAACAGGAGGUAGAGUUGGUGUCUUAGGAUAAGGUGGUGGAAGUGGCUUGGUCACCGGCGUAGGUGGCGGUGAAUGUACAAUAGGAGGCUGAGUGCUUGGUGGUUUGCCAUAAGGUGAGGAUGGUGGUGGCCUCACCACUCUAGGAGGCAGAGUUGGUGGUUUGGGUUUGGGCACUAUUGGUGGUGAUGGCUUGUUAUAAACUGGGGGUGAUGGCUUCUUGAUGGGAGCUGGGGGCUUGUAAAUAGGAGAAGGAGUUGGUGGUUUGGGUUUGGGCACUAUUGGUGGUGAUGGCUUCUUGAUGGGAGCUGGGGGCUUGUAAAUAGGAGAAGGAGUGGGUGGCUUGGGUUUUUCAUUGUACUCAGCUAGAGAUGAAGUGAUGAGAACCACCAGGCCAAACAAUAGCACAAGCAACUUUGAGUAACUCAUGGUGUUUGUGUUUUUGUGAUGGUAUAAGAUCUAGACGGCAUCGUUUGCUAUUUAUAGUGCUCUCAGGCCUGUGUCGGCAAUACGUGUCAAAAGAUCUUGGUCAUUUUGUUUCAUAGUUAACAGUCAAGGAUUUUCAAAUUCAUGAGAAGAAAAGUACGAUUUUUUUGGCUGAAUAAAAGUUUAGAAGAGGGGAGGCUACACCAUCUUAGAGUUAGGACAUAUCAAAGUUUUCUUGAGGAUUUACAGAGGGGGUUUUAGUCUUUUUUUUUUGUUUUUACAGAUUAUCCCCCAAAAAGAAUUUUCGGCAACAGAACCCGAAUCUAAGUCUUGAUAGCAAAGAGAAUGAUCCUUAUCAACUCAACCAACCCUCGUUGACAGAGAAGUAAGAUUUUCAAUUGGUACGGAUGAUUGUUGAUAUAAGUGUUGUUGAUAGAGAAUCCCAAGUAUAAAUGGUAAAUUCUCUUAAUCAUUUGAGCAACAAAUUCUUUAUAAGUAAUUUGACUGAUUGAUUAUUGAUUGCAAUAAUGGUAAGUGUAAAUAAAAAUUGAGUAGUAUUUAAUGGAAAAUGACAUGACAGUAUUUUACUAGUUGAAAAUAGAACCAAGUUGUCGGUGUAGAUAAAAACAAAUGAUUCAGUCUUCCAAAAUGUGGAGAUUUGAAUUUGUGUUCGUCUAGCAUUAAUCUUUUAAAAAGAUUUUGGAUUUUUAUGUGAAUUUAAGUUAAUUUGAGUCUACAUUAUGCGUUCCAUGGUCUAUAUAAUUUAGACUGGUUUAAUUUUCCACAUUGAAUGACUUUUGUAUGUGGACUUUUCCCCCCAUCUUUCUUUAUUAUUGUCCUCUCCUCCGUUGUCGUUAGUUUUGUCACUUAUCAUCCUUGUGGUGUGAUGAUAAUUGGAAACGAGUGUUUCUAUUCUCGUUUCCCAAGCUAUGUUAUUAAAAUCUAACAUGAUUUGCAAAGGAUUCAUUAGGGUAGUAAUUUGGAGUAUUUAUUUCCUCAGGUAAGUUCUGGGUUCGAGUCGUAGUAUCUGUGUAGUGUGUGAGAGUUUAGCAUGCUAUUGCCCCUCUCAAUAGGAAAGGUCCUAAAAAAAAUCUAACAUGGUUUAUAUUGGUAUCAGGACUCUUCCAAUGGGACUACUGAGGGAACUGAGGCCAAGCCAUUGAUAUGUCAGCUUAGCGUUAAUGAAGAAAUAAAUAUAUUUGCUAACCAAGGUGGUAUGGGACUAGUGUGUAAGUAAAUGCCUUCUUCAUUGGGCUAGACUCUGUUAGCAUUAGGCAUUAAAACUUAAUAUCUCUUCCAACGGUGAAAAAAGAUGUAUCACUGAAUCACUAUAGGUACGGUAUUAUUUCACUUUCAUCUUUUACUAUCUAUUUUCAACGUACUAUAUCACUAUUGGAACAAUGCAAAAUUUCUGGAAUCAAUUAGGGAACAAAGGUGUGAAUAUUAUAUCUCCGUUCCCUUUUGUAAUAAAAUAUGUAUAGAGUUGAGCAAUGGUCACAAAAUUCGUUGCUUUCCAAUAGAUUGCUAUUUCAUUUCUGGUUAAAUCGUCUUGUAGUGGAAAAAACUGAGUCUUCAGCAGCCGCGUUUCUUGAUUUCUCUCAUGGAUUUGGUGAAUUUGAUGGCUGCUUGCGGACCAAUUAGCCGAAGGACAUGUGCUCUCUAUCUAACCCCGUCAUAGUCUGUAUAGCUCUACCUAAAAGGUAAAAAUCAGAGAAAGGAGAGAUCGGACUUGCGACCAAAUAUAUAGUGAGACACAUUACAAGAUUCUUGAAAGAUCUUGAGCCUCUCGAUCUAAAUUGGUUUUGAUUUGGAUGUUCAUAUUUUAUAUUCUAUAUAUAUAUAAUAACGUAAUAUAUUUACUAAUCUUGUUUUUACAGAAAAUUGUUAAGGAUUAUUGCAAAACGAAAGUGUAUUUGUUUAUUUGUUUGGGUUAUUCCCACAAUGUUCAUCCCACCGCCGCGUAUUUUGCUUUCUCUAUAGUGGUUAGGUCCAUUCACGUCAAUAUUAUAUUCAAUCUAAUUUUAGCUUUCAAUUACCAGUGUCCACUCGGUUUUCUUGACGUUUUGAUGUCAUGUAUUGGACCCGAAUAUCGGAUAUCAUCUGUCUCUUCCGCUGAUGAAGGGAUAAAUGCCAUCGAAUCAGAAGAUCUUACUUUUCCAAGGGGGCUUUUCUCUUGUCUCCUCCCAAUCUUCGUCGACUAAGAUCUUACUUUUCUUUUUCUUCUUUUAUAUUUCUACCUUCUUAAUCACUGUACGAAGGGAGAAUUUAUCAAAAAUAGCUAAAAUUUGACUCUUAAUUUCAAAAAUGUUAAUUUUUGUAAAAAUUUCAAUAUAACAGAAAACUCACUUAAAUAGAUACAAAUGUCCUUAAAUUUAAAACUUACAUAAACCUAAAAAAGAAACCUUAUUAAAUAAAACUUUGAAAUAUUUCCUCCAAACACUUUUCCAAUCACCUCUAUUUCUUUUUCUCUUUUUUUUUCCUUCUUCCGUUUGUCUCCAGCAUCACUCCCUCUCUUUUCCUUUUUUUUUUUCUUUCUUCUUCUCUCCACAUAUAUAUAUAUAUAUAUAUAUAUAUAUCUAUCUAUCUAUCUCUCUCUCUCUAUCUCUCUCUCUCUCUCUCUCUCUCUCUCUCUGUGCAUAUCUCUAUUCUUCUUCUCUCCCAUUUUCUCCAAAUAAAAUGUAUGUAUUUAUUUGGCAAAAAAAAAAGUAUUUAGAACCAAAAAUUCAGAAAAUGAUUGAAUCAAUGCACAAGUAUAAUUUCCUCCUCUCACCCAAAAAAAAAUAUUUAUUUCACAUAACUUUAAUUCUUCAAAAACUGUCACAAAUUUAGAGGUAGUCUGUAGAACAAAAAAUUCAAUAAAACGAUCUACAUUAAAAAAAUAUAUAAUUAAAUAUUCAUUCAUUACAAUUCAUAAAGUUAAAGAGAAAAAUAUUACACCAGUCCGUCUAUGAGGUAGGAUGAAGUGCAAUUGAAUUCUUGGAAGUUUGUCAAUAAUGGCCAAUUGAACCACAUCUUGAACACUUACGAGUUGAUGGUUCUUCUCCUCGUGAUGGGAUUCUCUUUUCCUCAAGCCUGCCGUGCCUUCUUCGUGUAAUUGGUGGUAGCACAAUUCUAUCUCGUACAUCAUCAAGCACCACCCAAUCUGUUUGAUCCCCAACUAGCCAUAUAGAUUCUGCAUCCGCAAUUACCAAUGAGUUUGUAGUAUAAUAUUUUGAACACAUUGGGUAGCACGAAAUUUGUCAAUGCGUACAUGCAGCACAAGCAUCUUCUGCUACACAUAUGUCAGAAUCAUCAUAUUACUAGACUCAAUAAUUUUCCAAGCCUAUCAGCACUAACCUUUGAUGCAGGCUCAAAGUGAAUUGACGAUAUUAAAUCAUAGCACUUUGAAUAGGGCUCAAGAGUCCAUUAACAGAAAUGUCGCAACUAUGGACAUUAAGUUAGCAAAACCAGAAUUGAAAUUUUAUAAAUAUAGUAUGAAGAAUAAACGAAGAAACGAAGUAACGAAGAAGAAAUUGAACGAAGAACCAAAGAAGAACAGCACUCUACGUACAAAGAUUCUCAAUCUAAUAGGGUUUUGUUUUUUAGGUUUAUGUUGGUUUUAAAUUUAAGGGUAUUUGUGUCUAUUUAGGUGAGUUUUCUUCUAUAUUUGAAAUUUUUUAUAAAAACUAACAUUUUUGAAAUUAGGGGUCAAGUUUUGGCUAUUUUUGAUAAAUUCUCAUACGAAGGAUUAUCUUUUAGGUGUGAACCUUAAAACACCAUUGGAUGAGAUUUAUGAUUCGUGUAGGAAAAAAAAAUCAAAGGAAGAAUGAGGAGAGCGAUGUUGAAGAAUAUUGAAGUCCCACAUCAGAAACUUAACAAAAUAAUCAAAUACUCCAUAUAAUGAAUGAUUCCACUAUUAAUAAUAUCGAGACUUUUUGUAUAAAAUUUCACAACUGCUAAACAAAUGGUUAAAUUAAAGACAAUAUUGAUAUUAUUAGUAGUGGGUCAUGAGUCCCGAAUAAUUCAAGGGUCAUGAGUCCCGAAUAAUUCAAGGGGAUGGUUUGAAAAAUUCAAUCUAAUUCUGGCUUUCAAUUACUAGUAUCCACUCGUUUUUCCUGAUGUUUUGAUGUCAUGUACUGUUUGAUUUUCAAACUAAUUAUGGGAUGGUUUGAAAAAUCAAACUAAUUAUGGGAUGGUUUGAAAAAUCAAACUUAGAGAAAGCAACCCUUACUGCCUAGAAAAAGAAAAAGGUUAGCCGGCCCUAACUUCUCGUUAAGGAUAAAAAUUUGAACCGGCAAAUCAGUGAACCGGAACCGAAUCUGCAUGAACUGGCUAUAUUUAUAUCUAGUUUUUAAUUUAUUUUUACAGAUGUCUUGUUCUCAUUGUUUUUUUUUUUUGACCUUUCCUAUUGAAAGGGGCGAUAACAUAUUAAACUCACACACACAACACGGAUGUCUUGUUAUCAUUGUUGAUUCUAUACAAUUAGUACAAAGUAAUUUAACAAACAAAGCAAUUUUCUAAAACGGUCCUCCUUUUUUCUCCUUCUAUGGUUUGGUCCUCCUAAUCUAUUCACGGCAAUACUUUGGGCACUGAGGUGAUUGAGCAUAGCCAUUGACAAUAAUACAAUUUAAAGUCUUAAACUCUAUACUUAGCUUAGGGUUAAGUAUUCCAUUAGUGGCAGAAUGUUAAGGCUAAAUAUACGCUAUCUUAAAAAGUCAACCACAAUUAUAUAUGUAACGCACUAUAAAUAUAAAAUGGGGUUAAUGACCUAAAUGGUCUUUCAACUAUUGCUCCAUUAUCAUUUUGGUCCACCAACUAAAAUUUUCAAUUCAAACGUCCUCAAACUUUUUAUUUUGUACCAAGAUGGUCCAUCCGUGACAGAUUCUGUUACUUCUGAUCACGCGAUGGCCACGUGACUGAGUUUUGAAGGGUAUAUGCAACUUUUUGAGAAGCUUUAUCGAAGGGUAUCACUAAAAUGGUCCAUCAACUGUUGCUUCAGUAUCAUUUUGGUCCACCAACUAAAAUUUUCAUUUGAACUGUCCUUCUACUUCUUUUUUUUUUCUUUUUUUUUUGUUAUCAAGAUGGUCCUACUAUCAAAGUCCAUCAAUUUUAUUGUUAUUUAAUUUUGUAUUUAUCUUAUUUUAAAAUUUUUAAUUAAUUUAAACAAUAGAGAAAUAAAUAUUACUUUUUAAGUCCAUGUCAUAAAAUAAAAAAAGCCAUGUUGGUGGUGAGAUUCAAUUUUUUCAAUUUUAAAAUUAGGUACAAGUUCCUAUAAUAGUUUCCUUUAAUUUUAAUUAUUAUUUUCUCUUUUAAAAAAUUUGUUAUUAUAUAUAUGUGAUUUUAAUUAAUUUAAACAAUAGAGAUUUUAUUAUUAAUUGUUAGGUCAGUGUCAUAAAAAAAAAAAAGCCAUGUGGCUAGUGAGAUUCAAAUUUUUAAAAUUUUUUAAGUUUUAUAAUAGUUUCCUUGAUACCAAAAAAAAAAAAAAGAGUUGAAGGAUGGUUCAAAUGAAAAUUUUAGUUGGUGGACUAAAAUGAUACUAGAGCAAUAGUUGGGGGACCAUUGUGAUCAAUAACCCUUUUAGAAGAGGAUACUCACCUAAAAAUACGGUUUUGUCCCUCGAUUUCACGGAAUAAUACACAGACUUUGACAGAUGGACCAUCUUGGUACAAAAUAAAAAGUUUAAGGACGUUUGAAUUGAAAAUUUUAGUUGGUGGACCAAAAUGAUAAUGGGAGCAAUAGUUGGGGGGACCAUUUAGGGUCAUUAACCCAUAUAAAAUCGUUAAGGGUAAUGUUAUACUAGAUCCCGAGUCUAUGCAUUUAGAGUCCACGCAUUUACCCGUAUUUGACUUCAUAUCAACCAUUACAAAGAUCCAACGACUUAAAAUAUGAUAGAUCAUUAUUACAUCAUAAAGUUUUAUUUUUCUAACUGACGUUACUGUUACCAUUUCCUCAAAGCCUUUCUCCCUUGCUUGUUCUCUUCCCUCUCUAAUCUCUCUCAAUUUUUGCUUCUCAUGAAUAUCUACUACCCAGCAUCAUAAAUUGAAUUUCCUAUUUUUAGUACAAUUUCAAUCAAUUCCCCCAUUGCCAAUUGGUUUUGGAGUGUAACCUCAACUUCCUUCACUUAUGUCCUCAGGCUCUCUCCAGUUUGUAUUGUUUGCUUUUUGGGUUUUGUGUAGGUGAAGGAAGUUGAUAAUUGAGUCUGAGAGCGUUUAUGGUGGCGAGAAAGCUUUGUUUCAAUGGAUGUUCUUUUUUUGCAAUGUCUGUUGAUUUGGCUUCCUCGUUUUUAGAGAGACAGAGUUAAUGGAAGGACUAAUGUUAGUUUAGGGAAGAAAAAAAAAACUAAAUUUCAUAACCGACACGUGGUAUAAAAUGUAGAGAUGCCAUAUUAUGUGAUAUAAAAAUGUGGUAAGACUAAUAUUAUUGUAACCGUAAUCAUAUGAUUCAAACUUGAAACCUCAUUCAACUAAGUGAAGACAACUACCCAAAAAAUCAUAAACUAAUUGACAUAAAAACUAUUUAUUAUAAACAAAUUUUGAAUCCAUAUUUUCUGUUAAAUAUAGAUGUAGGACUAGGGUUAAGUAUUAAGUUGGAUGAUAUUUUUGUCUUUUUACUAUAAUUAUUCUCUCUGCUGCUACGGGAUGGGUUAAGGCCUCCCUUGCUGCUGUGAUUAAGGUGGAUAAGGUGCAUUCUUUUAUCUAUUGGAAACCUCCUCGCCCUGCUCAGUUUAAACUUAAUGUUGAUGGGUCUAGAUGCACUUCCUCUGGAUGUAUUGGGGCUGGGGUUGUGAUUCGUGAUGCUUAUGGGGGCGGAUUGGUGGUUUUUCAGUGCACCUUGGCCACAGACAUAUCUUGGAUGCUGAAAUUUGGGGGUUAUAUUUUGGCCUUAAGCUUGCUGUGACUAAGGGUAUAAGCUGCCUUAUUAUUGAAAUGGAUGCUGCUGUGGUUGCCCAACUAGUCAAGAAUAUUGAUGGUCUGGCUCACCACCCCUUUGCUUUACUGAUUAAUGUUUGCUGUGCUCUCAUGCAACAAUUUGCAAAUAGUUGCACUCUCCUUCAUAUUUACAGAGAAGGAAAUUGUGUGGCUGACGGUUUGGCAAAUUGGAGUUACAACUUAGACCUGGGUAUCCUUUAUUUUAAUGAAGCUCCAAAUGUGUCAUAUCUUAAUUCAUUAGAUUAUUAGAACGAUGGGUAAAUGCACACUAUCUAAAUGCAGAGGCUCAGAAUCCGCCUAGUUUAAACUUUUAAGCUAUUUAUAUAUAUAUAUAUAUUUUAUAGAGAUGGACCAAUCAUAUUGAAUUAAAAAAUAACUAUAGUAUUUAUGAUUCCCUAAACUAUGGAGUAUGAUUAGAGUUCAAAUUUGGUAGAGAACUCCUAAAAUAACUUUUAUGUGUUUUUAGCUAAAUUUUAGACACACAAAACUGACCACAUUAGCCGACCACCUUAUGUGGCAGCUGAUGUGGUCAUGCCAUAUUUUUAUCUCACAUUUCCAUACCACAUAAUGUGGCAUGUCCAUAUCAUAUGCCACAUCAAUUAAAUCAAUAGAGUGUAUUUUAAUUAAGACAAUUAGAAAAAAAAAUACUGGAAUAAAUCAUAAAAGAAAAGAAAAUAUUAAAUACUUUUAAUUGAUGUGGUUAUCCACCUCAGCUGCCACAUAAGAUGGUAUAAGGAUGUAGUAUACAAAUAUAGUAAGAGUAGCAUUAUUCUUUCAAUAUAGUAAUCAUCGUUUAGAGAAAGAGUAAGGCUAC
rnacentral:lncRNA from 1 species